GAUGAACGCUGGCGGCGUGCCUAAUACAUGCAAGUCGAGCGAACAGACGAGGAGCUUGCUCCUCUGACGUUAGCGGCGGACGGGUGAGUAACACGUGGAUAACCUACCUAUAAGACUGGGAUAACUUCGGGAAACCGGAGCUAAUACCGGAUAAUAUAUUGAACCGCAUGGUUCAAUAGUGAAAGACGGUUUUGCUGUCACUUAUAGAUGGAUCCGCGCCGCAUUAGCUAGUUGGUAAGGUAACGGCUUACCAAGGCGACGAUGCGUAGCCGACCUGAGAGGGUGAUCGGACACACUGGAAAUGAGACAAGGUCCAGACUCCUACGGGAGGCAGCAGUAGGGAAUCUUCCGCAAUGGGCGAAAGCCUGACGGAGCAACGCCGCGUGAGUGAUGAAGGUCUUCGGAUCGUAAAACUCUGUUAUCAGGGAAGAACAAAUGUGUAAGUAACUAUGCACGUCUUGACGGUACCUAAUCAGAAAGCCACGGCUAACUACGUG
rnacentral:rRNA from 1 species